GUUCUCACUUCAGCAGCACAUAUACUAAAAUUGCAACGAUACAGGAAGAUUAGCAUCGCCCCUGCACAAGAAUGACAAAUUCAUGAAGCGUUCCAUAUUUUU